AGAACGACUCUCGGCAACGGAUAUCUCGGCUCACGCAUCGAUGAAGAACGUAGCAAAAUGCGAUACUUGGUGUGAAUUGCAGAAUCCCGUGAACCAUCGAGUUUUUGAACGCAAGUUGCGCCCGAAGCCAUUCGGUUGAGGGCACAUCUGCCUGGGCGUCACG
rnacentral:rRNA from 4 species